GGCUAAUGCUAGCACAAUAUGCUAGUAAAGUUAGCACCCAGAUUAAUGUGGAUUUGGCCGAUUUUCGUGGAAUAAAACGUGAUCUGGAAAUUCUGAUCAACGCCUUCUUUUUAGCCAGAUGAUAACUUUCCACUGAUUGUAGCAGCAGAGAGCCCGUGUGUUUUACUCCGUGAGUAUGAUGUGAUCUGAGCAUCCAGUAAAUAAAGUCCCAUGUCAGCAAAAAUGCAGUGUGACAAAGUCGUUAAAGUGCGUCAACACAGUGGAGUUUAAAGAACAAUCUCUGAGUGAAGUGAGGUUAGUUUUUUGUCCAACUGCAGAUAUAAAAACUAACUCUGCAUCAGUCAUAUACAGCGAAGCUCACUGACACUCAUCUGUAUGAGCGUGAGCGUCCGAAAGCUGAUAAAAUCACCUGUAAAAUAAUUAAAACACAAGUAAAAUGCUCCUUUGCUUUUUAGAGUCCACAUCCAGAAGGCUGGAGCCGUAUUUCACUGACAGGCUGUCAGACUAAAACCCUGAUGAGCUCAGCUGGGACAAACUCUGGUCUGAUGUUUAGGAACACAAAACACUCAGAUGUUGGAGCUUCACGUCACCUACUGAGGAAGGAGACCCACCAGUAAAGAGAUGGUAGCUGGACCAGACCAAAAAUAUGGCGGUGAUAUCAUGGAACUGGUCUUUGGAAAAGUUUUCCCUGAACCAACUCCGUUUCUAGAUGAGGUAGAGAAGAUUAGCAUCCCACCAAUCUUCUGGUCUCAGUAAUCAGACGAUGGAGGUCUCCCACUGUUAUCCAGGACCAGUUUGAAGCCCACAUACAGCCCCUCCCUCAUCAUCAGGAAACAUCAAUCCGUAUCCUGAGGACAACAGAAGACGGCAGGAGGACAGGAACUCUGAGACCUAGAUACCACCAGCACUGGGACACAAAGCACCUGUGUGUACAACGCCUACUAAAGCCUAUUUAUUAUAUUGUUCUGCUUCUUUGCUGUGAGGUUAAUACUUAGAAAAGUUGUAUAUUAAUAUAAACAAUAAAAAAAAUCACUGAUAGUACGUUUCCUCUUAGAUGUAAUGUCAGCCUUGUAAACAUUUAUUGCAUCCUGUAGGUAAAUACACAGAACAGGCUCAGAUCCAUGAUGAUCCAGCAUGCUUCUUCAUUCUGGCUUUCAUCUAAUGUAUUUAUUUAGAAUGCAGGUAAGAUUUAACUAUAUUUGUUAGCAAAGCAGACUGAUCUUGGGAAUUUCUCCGCAGCACUGAUUUCUCAACCUCUGUGUACAUGUUAGAAUUAACACGGUUACAGCUAAACACACACUUAAUUAAGAUAUAGGCUAUGAAUUGCAGACAAUAAAAACGUAAAGAUGUAAGCAUUAGAAUGAUAAUAAUCACAUUAAAGAACAUUUGGAGAAAUGUACUUUAUUUGUGACUAGAAUCUCAAACCUUUAAAUCAAAAUGUAACUGCUUUUUAUCCAUUUUCAGCCAUUAAGACACCCAAUAUAAAAUAAGACUACUUAUAAAAUUAUUUAUAAUUAUAUGUAUGUAUAUAUAUAGAUAGAGAUCUUAAUAAAAUGUAUUCUUUUAAUGGUGUUUUAAUGAGCUGUAUCAUUUUUUAAAACAUUUUUUAUAGAAAUAAAUAAGCAAGCAGCAUUCCUUGUGUGUGUGUGUG
rnacentral:lncRNA from 1 species